GAGGAUAUAGCUCAAUGGUAGAGUGCAUGUUUAGCACACACAAGGUCCUGGGUUCAGUCCCUAGUAUCUCCA
rnacentral:tRNA from 1 species